rnacentral:rRNA from 2 species
CAGUGUACCCGCGGCAAGACGGAAAGACCCCGUGAACCUUUACUAUAGCUUGACACUGAACAUUGAGCCUUGAUGUGUAGGAUAGGUGGGAGGCUUUGAAGCGUGGACGCCAGUCUGCGUGGAGCCGACCUUGAAAUACCACCCUUUAAUGUUUGAUGUUCUAACGUGGACCCGUAAUCCGGGUUGCGGACAGUGUCUGGUGGGUAGUUUGACUGGGGCGGUCUCCUCCUAAAGAGUAACGGAGGAGCACGAAGGUUGGCUAAUCCUGGUCGGACAUCAGGAGGUUAGUGCAAUGGCAUAAGCCAGCUUGACUGCGAGCGUGACGGCGCGAGCAGGUGCGAAAGCAGGUCAUAGUGAUCCGGUGGUUCUGAAUGGAAGGGCCAUCGCUCAACGGAUAAAAGGUACUCCGGGGAUAACAGGCUGAUACCGCCCAAGAGUUCAUAUCGACGGCGGUGUUUGGCACCUCGAUGUCGGCUCAUCACAUCCUGGGGCUGAAGUAGGUCCCAAGGGUAUGGCUGUUCGCCAUUUAAAGUGGUACGCGAGCUGGGUUUAGAACGUCGUGAGACAGUUCGGUCCCUAUCUGCCGUGGGCGCUGGAGAACUGAGGGGGGCUGCUCCUAGUACGAGAGGACCGGAGUGGACGCAUCACUGGUGUUCGGGUUGUCAUGCCAAUGGCACUGCCCGGUAGCUAAAUGCGGAAGAGAUAAGUGCUGAAAGCAUCUAAGCACGAAACUUGCCCCGAGAUGAGUUCUCCCUGAGACUUAGAGUCUCCUGAAGGAACGUUGAAGACGACGACGUUGAUAGGCCGGGUGUGUAAGCGCAGCGAUGCGUUGAGCUAACCGGUACUAAUGAACCGUGAGGCUUAACCUUACAACGCCGAAG